GUGGGGAAUAUUGGGCAAUGGAGGAAACUCUGACCCAGCAACGCCGCGUGAAUGAUGAAGGUCUUCGGAUUGUAAAGUUCUUUUCUAAGGGACGAAGAAAGUGACGGUACCUUAGGAAUAAGCCUCGGCUAACUACGUGCCAGCAGCCGCGGUAAUACGUAGGAGGCAAGCGUUAUCCGGAAUGACUGGGCGUAAAGGGUGCGUAGGUGGUUCAGCAAGUUGGCAGCGUAACUCCGGGGCUCAACCUCGGCACUACUGCCAAAACUGUCGAACUUGAGUGCAGGAGGGGCAAUCGGAAUUCCUAGUGUAGCGGUGGAAUGCGUAGAUAUUAGGAGGAACACCAGUGGCGAAGGCGGAUUGCUGGACUGUAACUGACACUGAGGCACGAAAGCGUGGGGAGCAAACAGGA
rnacentral:rRNA from 1 species